AUUGAACGCUGGCGGCAUGCUUUACACAUGCAAGUCGAACGGUAACAGGCCGCAAGGUGCUGACGAGUGGCGAACGGGUGAGUAAUGCAUCGGAACGUGCCCAGUCGUGGGGGAUAACGCAGCGAAAGCUGUGCUAAUACCGCAUACGAUCUUUGGAUGGAAGCGGGGGACCGUAAGGCCUCGCGCGAUUGGAGCGGCCGAUGUCAGAUUAGGUAGGUGGUGGGGUAAAGGCCCACCAAGCCCACGACCUGUAGCUGGUCUGAGAGGGCGACCAGCCACACUGGGACUGAGACGCGGCCCAGACUCCUCCGGGAGGCAGCAGUGGGAAAUUUUGGACAAUGGGCGCAAGCCUGAUCCAGCAAUGCCGCGUGCAGGAAGAAGGCCUUCGGGUUGUAAACUGCUUUUGUACGGAACGAAACGGUCUGGGUUAAUACCCUGGGCUAAUGACGGUACCGUAAGAAUAAGCACCGGCUAACUACGUGCCAGCAGCCGCGGUAA
rnacentral:rRNA from 1 species